rnacentral:rRNA from 1 species
ACUCAAAGGAAUUGACGGGGGCCCGCACAAGCGGAGGAACAUGUGGUUUAAUUCGAUGAUACGCGAGGAACCUUACCUGGGCUUAAAUGUAGAGUGCAUUGGUGGGAAACCAUCAUUUUCUUCGGAACUCUUUACAAGGUGCUGCAUGGUUGUCGUCAGCUCGUGCCGUGAGGUGUCGGGUUAAGUCCCAUAACGAGCGCAACCCUUAUCGUUAGUUGCCAGCGGGUCAAGCCGGGAACUCUAACGAAACUGCCGGUGUAAACCGAGAGGAAGGUGGGGAUGACGUCAAAUCAGCACGGCCCUUAUGUCCAGGGCUACACACGUGUUACAAUGGCCGGUACAGAGGGCAGCUACCUGUUGACAGGAUGCGAAUCUCGAAAGCCGGUCUCAGUUCGGAUCGGAGUCUGCAACCCGACUCCGUGAAGCUGGAUUCGCUAGUAAUCGCGCAUCAGCCAUGGCGCGGUGAAUACGUUCCCGGGCCUUGUACACACCGCCCGU